rnacentral:misc_RNA from 1 species
GAUGAAGAACGCAGCGAAAUGCGAUACGUAAUGUGAAUUGCAGAAUUCAGUGAAUCAUCGAGUCUUUGAACGCACAUUGCGCCCCCUGGUAUUCCGGGGGGCAUGCCUGUCCGAGCGUCAUUGCUGCCCUCAAGCACGGCUUGUGUGUUGGGCCUCCGUCCUCCUCCCGGGGACGGGCCCGGAAGGCAGCGGCGGCACCGCGUCCGGUCCUCGAGCGUAUGGGGCUUCGUCACCCGCUCUUGUAGGCCCGGCCGGCGCUUGCCGACACAUCAAUCUUUUUUCCAGGUUGACCUCGGAUCAGGUAGGGAUACCCGCUGAACUUAAGCAUAUCAAUAAGCGGAGGA